rnacentral:rRNA from 1 species
UACGUAGGGAGCGAGCGUUGUCCGGAAUUACUGGGUGUAAAGGGAGCGUAGGCGGGAUCGCAAGUCAGAUGUGAAAACUAUGGGCUUAACCCAUAAACUGCAUUUGAAACUGUGGUUCUUGAGUGAAGUAGAGGUAAGCGGAAUUCCUAGUGUAGCGGUGAAAUGCGUAGAUAUUAGGAGGAACAUCAGUGGCGAAGGCGGCUUACUGGGCUUUUACUGACGCUGAGGCUCGAAAGCGUGGGGAGCAAACAGG